rnacentral:rRNA from 1 species
UACGUAGGGUGCGAGCGUUAAUCGGAAUUACUGGGCGUAAAGCGUGCGCAGGCGGCUAUGCAAGACAGAUGUGAAAUCCCCGGGCUUAACCUGGGAACUGCAUUUGUGACUGCAUGGCUAGAGUACGGCAGAGGGGGAUGGAAUUCCGCGUGUAGCAGUGAAAUGCGUAGAUAUGCGGAGGAACACCGAUGGCGAAGGCAAUCCCCUGGGCCUGUACUGACGCUCAUGCACGAAAGCGUGGGGAGCAAACAGG